rnacentral:rRNA from 1 species
GACGAAGGUGGCAAGCGUUGUUCGGUAUCACUGGGCUUAAAGCGUGUGUAGGCGGAAAGGUAAGCGUUUUGUGAAAGUCCCCGGCUUAACCGGGGAACUGCUAGACGAACUGCUUUUCUUGAGGCAAGUAGGGGUGCAUGGAACUCUUGGUGGAGCGGUGGAAUGCGUAGAUAUCAAGAGGAACGCCAGCGGUGAAAACGGUGCACUGGGCUUGUCCUGACGCUGAGACACGAAAGCGUGGGGAGCGAACGGGAUUAGAUACCCCUGUA